GCUGCGAGACCGCAAGGUUUAGCCAAUCCCACAAAUCUGUUCUCAGUUCGGAUCGCAGUCUGCAACUCGACUGCGUGAAGCUGGAAUCGCUAGUAAUCGCGGAUCAGCAUGCCGCGGUGAAUACGUUCCCGGGCCUUGUACACACCGCCCGUCACACCACGAGAGUUUGCAACACCCGAAGUCGGUGAGGUAACCUUUAUGGAGCCAGCCGCCGAAGGUGGGGCAGAUGAUUGGGGUGAAGUCGUAACAAGGUAGCCGUAUCGGAAGGUGCGGUUGGAUCACCUCCAAAU
rnacentral:rRNA from 1 species